rnacentral:rRNA from 1 species
GAUGAACGCUGGCGGCGUGCCUAAUACAUGCAAGUCGAGCGAACGGACGAGAAGCUUGCUUCUCUGAUGUUAGCGGCGGACGGGUGAGUAACACGUGGAUAACCUACCUAUAAGACUGGGAUAACUUCGGGAAACCGGAGCUAAUACCGGAUAAUAUUUUGAACCGCAUGGUUCAAAAGUGAAAGACGGUCUUGCUGUCACUUAUAGAUGGAUCCGCGCUGCAUUAGCUAGUUGGUAAGGUAACGGCUUACCAAGGCAACGAUGCAUAGCCGACCUGAGAGGGUGAUCGGCCACACUGGAACUGAGACACGGUCCAGACUCCUACGGGAGGCAGCAGUAGGGAAUCUUCCGCAAUGGGCGAAAGCCUGACGGAGCAACGCCGCGUGAGUGAUGAAGGUCUUCGGAUCGUAAAACUCUGUUAUUAGGGAAGAACAUAUGUGUAAGUAACUGUGCACAUCUUGACGGUACCUAAUCAGAAAGCCACGGCUAACUACGUGCCAGCAGCCGCGGUAAUACGUAGGUGGCAAGCGUUAUCCGGAAUUAUUGGGCGUAAAGCGCGCGUAGGCGGUUUUUUAAGUCUGAUGUGAAAGCCCACGGCUCAACCGUGGAGGGUCAUUGGAAACUGGAAAACUUGAGUGCAGAAGAGGAAAGUGGAAUUCCAUGUGUAGCGGUGAAAUGCGCAGAGAUAUGGAGGAACACCAGUGGCGAAGGCGACUUUCUGGUCUGUAACUGACGCUGAUGUGCGAAAGCGUGGGGAUCAAACAGGAUUAGAUACCCUGGUAGUCCACGCCGUAAACGAUGAGUGCUAAGUGUUAGGGGGUUUCCGCCCCUUAGUGCUGCAGCUAACGCAUUAAGCACUCCGCCUGGGGAGUACGACCGCAAGGUUGAAACUCAAAGGAAUUGACGGGGACCCGCACAAGCGGUGGAGCAUGUGGUUUAAUUCGAAGCAACGCGAAGAACCUUACCAAAUCUUGACAUCCUUUGACAACUCUAGAGAUAGAGCCUUCCCCUUCGGGGGACAAAGUGACAGGUGGUGCAUGGUUGUCGUCAGCUCGUGUCGUGAGAUGUUGGGUUAAGUCCCGCAACGAGCGCAACCCUUAAGCUUAGUUGCCAUCAUUAAGUUGGGCACUCUAAGUUGACUGCCGGUGACAAACCGGAGGAAGGUGGGGAUGACGUCAAAUCAUCAUGCCCCUUAUGAUUUGGGCUACACACGUGCUACAAUGGACAAUACAAAGGGCAGCGAAACCGCGAGGUCAAGCAAAUCCCAUAAAGUUGUUCUCAGUUCGGAUUGUAGUCUGCAACUCGACUACAUGAAGCUGGAAUCGCUAGUAAUCGUAGAUCAGCAUGCUACGGAGAAGACGUUCCCGGGUCU